rnacentral:rRNA from 1 species
UGUGCCCAGAUGGGAUUAGCUAGUAGGUGGGGUAACGCUCACCUAGGCGACGAUCCCUAGCUGGUCUGAGAGGAUGACCAGCCACACUGGAACUGAGACACGGUCCAGACUCCUACGGGAGGCAGCAUG